rnacentral:rRNA from 1 species
UGAAAAAUUAGCGGAUGACUUGUGGCUGGGGGUGAAAGGCCAAUCAAACCGGGAGAUAGCUGGUUCUCCCCGAAAGCUAUUUAGGUAGCGCCUCGUGAAUUCAUCUUCGGGGGUAGAGCACUGUUUCGGCUAGGGGGGUCAUCCCGACUUACCAACCGAUGCAAACUACGAAUACCGAAGAAUGUUAUCACGGGAGACACACGGCGGGUGCUAACGUCCGUCGUGAAGAGGGAAACAACCCAGACCGCCAGCUAAGGUCCCAAAGUCAUGGUUAAGUGGGAAACGAUGUGGGAAGGCACAGACAGCCAGGAUGUUGGCUUAGAAGCAGCCAUCAUUAAAGAAAGCGUAAUAGCUCACUGGUCGAGUCGGCCUGCGCGGAAGAUGUAACGGGGCUAAACCAUGCACCGAAGCUGCGGCAGCGACACUAUGUGUU